rnacentral:rRNA from 1 species
GACGAACGCUGGCGGCGCGCCUAACACAUGCAAGUCGAACGGAGCUUAGAGAGCUUGCUUUUUAAGCUUAGUGGCGAACGGGUGAGUAACGCGUGAGUAACCUGCCCUAGAGUGGGGGACAACAGUUGGAAACGACUGCUAAUACCGCAUAAGCCCACGGUNCCGCAUGGUACUGAGGGAAAAGGAUUUAUUCGCUUUAGGAUGGACUCGCGUCCAAUUAGCUAGUUGGUGAGGUAACGGCCCACCAAGGCGACGAUUGGUAGCCGGACUGAGAGGUUGAACGGCCACAUUGGGACUGAGACACGGCCCAGACUCCUACGGGAGGCAGCAGUGGGGGAUAUUGCACAAUGGGGGAAACCCUGAUGCAGCGACGCCGCGUGGAGGAAGAAGGUUUUCGGAUUGUAAACUCCUGUCG